ensembl:lncRNA
CGGUUCACGCUUCAUGGAGUGUGUUGGAAGGGAGGUAGCUCGUGCCCUUCACUCUACAUUAUUGCACUAUUGCACUUUAUUACAUACAGAAAAGCGUUUAUUUCCAUUCACAACACAUUCACAUACCAUGUGCUGAAAUCUGGUAUUUUGGUGGACGAUCCGUCUUCUACUUCUAGCGUUUUCAGCGGUGAGAAGUGGACAGGGUGACAAUGUCACGGCAACAUUCAAGAUCCCCUCUACAUUCAAGACCCUCGACGCUGCUCGGAAGGCGUGACGGAUAUUACGGUGAGCAGUACCACGCGUUGGUGCGUUCCGAUCUGUGGAGAGGUUCAGAAAAUGUUGACAACAGAACCGUGGAAGGAGGCCUACGCUGGGAUAGCGGGUCCUCUCAAGAAGUGGAGCAGGUUGACCACUGGGCCAAGUUCAUCGAGGCUAUCGGUCGUGCUGGAAAGCGGAAAGCUUCAUCGUCCAUGUCGAGGUACCACGCCCAGGACGGCGUCCAGAGUUUCGAAGAGGACUCGGGACGCUCUCCGAGACAGCUGCCUAGGGAGAGGUUGUCUUCCCCGGAAGCUUCGCACUACGGCGUAGGAAACGCUUCAGAGGAUUCAGUCUCCAGGCCAGAGGAGGACCGCGCACGACGCCGGUCUUGUAGACCGGCGCUGUUCAAGAAGUUCCAGUCCUAGGCAUUCACAAGCAAAGAGACACGACAGAGCGGAACAUGGAUAUCACAAUGAAGAACGCGAAGAUAGAUAUGAAAGAAGCUCCUAUAGCGAGAGGUACAAGAACACUGAUCUACUGAGGCGAAGGAAAUGCGUGGAGAAAAACAUGGGAUUCAGUUAUGAAGUCUCUAGUUUUUAGAUUUUAGAAUAUUUGAAUGUAUACGAAUAAAUUAUUUAUUACAUAAUGCCGUUUUUAAAAUGUAUUACUUUAUUCAUUUUUGGGUGUUGUUCCUGAUCACCAGGCAGCACUUUGCACAUUGUAAAAGAUAUACACUACCGGGCAGAAGUUUAGACACACUUAUUCUUUAUUUAUUUUCAAUUAUUUUCCCAUGUUUUAUAAUAAUAAUAAUAAUAAUAAUAAUAAAUUUAUCAAAACUCUGGAGUAACACAAAUGGAACUAUGGGAAUUAUAUUGUGAUAAAAAAAAAAACCCAAAAUAAAGUAGACAU